rnacentral:rRNA from 1 species
GAUGAACGCUGGCGGCGUGCUUAACACAUGCAAGUCGAACGGUGAAGCCAAGCUUGCUUGGUGGAUCAGUGGCGAACGGGUGAGUAACACGUGAGCAACCUGCCCUGGACUCUGGGAUAAGCGCUGGAAACGGCGUCUAAUACUGGAUAUGAGCUCUCAUCGCAUGGUGGGGGUUGGAAAGAUUUUUCGGUCUGGGAUGGGCUCGCGGCCUAUCAGCUUGUUGGUGAGGUAAUGGCUCACCAAGGCGUCGACGGGUAGCCGGCCUGAGAGGGUGACCGGCCACACUGGGACUGAGACACGGCCCAGACUCCUACGGGAGGCAGCAGUGGGGAAUAUUGCACAAUGGGCGGAAGCCUGAUGCAGCAACGCCGCGUGAGGGAUGACGGCCUUCGGGCUGUAAACCUCUUUUAGCAGGGAAGAAGCGAGAGUGACGGUACCUGCAGAAAAAGCGCCGGCUAACUACGUGCCAGCAGCCGCGGUAAUACGUAGGGCGCAAGCGUUAUCCGGAAUUAUUGGGCGUAAAGAGCUCGUAGGCGGUUUGUCGCGUCUGCUGUGAAAUCCCGAGGCUCAACCUCGGGCCUGCAGUGGGUACGGGCAGACUAGAGUGCGGUAGGGGAGAUUGGAAUUCCUGGUGUAGCGGUGGAAUGCGCAGAUAUCAGGAGGAACACCGAUGGCGAAGGCAGAUCUCUGGGCCGUAACUGACGCUGAGGAGCGAAAGGGUGGGGAGCAAACAGGCUUAGAUACCCUGGUAGUCCACCCCGUAAACGUUGGGAACUAGUUGUGGGGACCAUUCCACGGUUUCCGUGACGCAGCUAACGCAUUAAGUUCCCCGCCUGGGGAGUACGGCCGCAAGGCUAAAACUCAAAGGAAUUGACGGGGACCCGCACAAGCGGCGGAGCAUGCGGAUUAAUUCGAUGCAACGCGAAGAACCUUACCAAGGCUUGACAUACACCAGAACACCGUAGAAAUACGGGACUCUUUGGACACUGGUGAACAGGUGGUGCAUGGUUGUCGUCAGCUCGUGUCGUGAGAUGUUGGGUUAAGUCCCGCAACGAGCGCAACCCUCGUUCUAUGUUGCCAGCACGUAAUGGUGGGAACUCAUGGGAUACUGCCGGGGUCAACUCGGAGGAAGGUGGGGAUGACGUCAAAUCAUCAUGCCCCUUAUGUCUUGGGCUUCACGCAUGCUACAAUGGCCGGUACAAAGGGCUGCAAUACCGUGAGGUGGAGCGAAUCCCAAAAAGCCGGUCCCAGUUCGGAUUGAGGUCUGCAACUCGACCUCAUGAAGUCGGAGUCGCUAGUAAUCGCAGAUCAGCAACGCUGCGGUGAAUACGUUCCCGGGUC